rnacentral:rRNA from 1 species
UAGUCUGGGAAACUGCCUGAUGGAGGGGGAUAACUACUGGAAACGGUAGCUAAUACCGCAUAACGUCGCAAGACCAAAGUGGGGGACCUUCGGGCCUCAUGCCAUCAGAUGUGCCCAGAUGGGAUUAGCUAGUAGGUGGGGUAAAGGCUCACCUAGGCGACGAUCUCUAGCUGGUCUGAGAGGAUGAUCAGCCACACUGGGACUGAGACACGGCCCAG